GAGAGGAGGAGGACAGAGAAGGGAGGACGGAAAGAAGGAGAGGGAGCAAACACGGACGUGAAGGGAUAGUGAGGACUGAGGAGCGAGAGGAAGAGGAAGGAAGAGAAAGAGUGCACACCGAGUGUAGACGAGUCCCUCUUCCCUUCCCUUCCCUGCUGCGGCUUCACCGACCCGAGGCGCGAGGCAGCGGGCCAGCGAGCACCGGGCCGCCGCCUCCCUGAGGCCCGCCCUCCACCUGGACACGACGUGACAGCCUGGCCACACACUGUACCUUUGGGUGUUGUGGCAGAGGUCCGCCGUCUCACUGCGAGGGACGCCUUGCUGGAAUUUGAAGUCCCUUGUGCCCACACAACGCACUGCAGCACUGCUUGGUCGUUGCAAAACACUCGUUCAUGAUAUUAACUUCUUAAAAUAUGGUCUGGGGGAUAUGUCGAG